CAUACAACUUUCAGCAACGGAUCUCUUGGCUCUCGCAUCGAUGAAGAACGCAGCGAAAUGCGAUAAGUAAUGUGAAUUGCAGAAUUCAGUGAAUCAUCGAAUCUUUGAACGCACCUUGCGCUCCUUGGUAUUCCGAGGAGCAUGCCUGUUUGAGUGUUAUUAAAUUCUCA
rnacentral:rRNA from 1 species